rnacentral:lncRNA from 1 species
CCAUAGCCAGGAUUCACAGGUCCAGAAAUCAAGGGGUGGAAGUGGAAGUGGCACCACUCUCCAUCACCCCUAAUGAUCCACUUGCAAAACUUUUGCUUCCUGCUCCUGCAACAUUAUGUUCUGCUGGCCUAGAGGUCUUAGUUCCAGAGGGAGGAAUACUGCCACCAGGAGGACGCAACAACAAUUCCAUUAAACUGGAAGUUAAGAUUGCCACCUGGACACUUUGGGCUCCUCCUACCUUUAAGUCAACAGGCUAAGAAGGGAGUUACAGUGUUGGCUGGGGUUAGCUGGUGUGACUGACCUGGACCAUCAAAUUGAAAUCAGUCUACUACUCCACAAUGGAGUUACAAAACUGGAUUAAUUGAAUCACUAUGUCCAAGUUCCUUCUGCAACCCUGGGGAAGACUGCUACCAUAAGCGUGAAACACAUCUGUGACAGAGUAUUAAGGCUUUAUCCACAAAUUACCAAGGGACCACCAAUUCUCUAGAACUCGUGACAGUCAACACAUUCUAAUUUAACAAAGAAAAAAAGAAGUCUGCUGUUUUGAGAUUAACACAACCACGGAUGUAUUCACCAAAAUGAAGUUUGUCUGCAGAAUUCAGUACCACGCUUUUUUUUUCUAGUUUGUCCAGCUCAUAAACAGGUGAGGGGUUCUGAUACCCCUAUAUUGCCUAAGGAAGUCAAGAAAAGCAUCAUAUAGGGAUUUGAACUAGACCUCCUUUCAGGUCCCAUACAGCCCUGGGAACCCAUGAUUCGAAUGUGUGUCUUGCUAUUCUAGGAUACAAACUACAAGUCUAUGAGGGAAACCAGAUUGAAAAUAAGACUCAUAGGUUCUAUUUAAGUGCUGCUGCUUUGAAUCACAUAGCUAGAGAAGUUUGCUAAAGGCACUUAUGCACCAGUUAAACUACAGGCACACAAGCAUUUCUAUUUACUGCCUUGCGAAGGAAAGGCAAGAAGGGGAGAGCUGCCAAACCAGGAAGAAAUAGAGGUGAUGUUCAAAGGCCAGCUAAAAGCACAUUCAAUGUUUAAAGCAAUCUAGAAAUGCGAAACCAGGCCAUUAAAUAAUAAGAAUUAGAUGAAACGGCAACAAACAUUAGAUUAAGAAAAACACCCAUAAAUAUCAAUUAAUAUAGUACUUCGAUUACCAAAAAACAUUGCAUUAUUGGAAUAUAUUCCCAGUAGAGAAAUGGUACUGGAAAUUAUUAGAUCUCCUAUGCAUGGGAAAGCAUGCAUAGAAAUGGAGAUAGAGAAAAAGAAAACGAGGAAAGAUAUGGAACAAUUAUGCUGCAUCUGUUUCUUACACAUCAGCGGGGGGCACUUUUCCCUAAAUCAGUUGAACAGUCAGUGAUGUGAAAGAUGAGAGCUCAUUAGGCAGCCUGCAGACAGCACCUGAAAUGGUUUGUCAAACAGUCGUGCCUCUGAAAAUCAACAAUGAACCAGGAGGUGAUGCUUCAUUUAUAGGGGGAAAGGCAAAAGCAAUCAAGACCCAAAGACAGGGCAACUGGGCUCUAUGUAGGCUCAUUAUGCUCAGCUCUGCCAAAAAAAAAAUGACAAAGAAGCCGAAUGCCAGGGUAGGAAACAAAAAUUAAGGCAGCAACAGGGAAGGAAGGGACAAAUAUUUCUUGAAUGCUUAGCAGUUGCCCCAUACUGCAUAUCAUCUCUUUUUCAUUUACAGCAACCCGGUACAGUGGUAUUGCUUCCACUCUUCAAGAUAAUGAAACAAAGAAUAAUUUGCUCAAAGUCACAGUGUACUAGAUUCAAAAACAUGUAUGUCCAACUGCAAACAGAAGUCUCUUGAACACAGCAAAGCUGUUUUCCAGAAAGUACAAAAUAUUAAGGAUAAUGUCUAUCAAUGAAAGAGACUAAGAAAGAGUUUUAGGAGCUCAGUAGAGAAAAUAGCUGCAGACCUGUGACUUAAGAGCUGAUUACGGAUUCAGCUUAUACUUCUCACAUGUCAGGAAAUGGAGGAUCCACAGUUCAAGCAGGAAUAAAGAGGAGUGGGGGAGUAAGUCUUUGUGGACAGCAUCUUUGUAUGGCUUUCUUUCUCUACAAUAGGGAUUUUGCUGAGGUACUGGUCCAAACGUUCUUGGGUAGUUCCUACAAAUGCUUACCAAGUCAAGUACCCCAGCUUACAUGGAGAACACUGCAUGUGUCCUUCCAGACCAGGAGCCAUUUGUCAGACUGUGUGAAUUAUCUACUAGAGGAACUUAGGGUUCUCUAUUGAACAGAAAAGGUUGAAAGUAAGAAAUAUUGCUUAAACAAGAAGCUGAGACAAGUUUCUUAGAAGGAAGGAGGUCAACACCAUGACAGUGCUGUACCCCAAAUCACCUCACUAUCCUGGUAUUUAAUUAAUGUCUGGUGAAUGUCAGCCCUUCCUGGCAUCCAGUCCACUGCCUGAGAAUUGAGGACAUCAUGUUCUCCCCUGACAAGGAGCAGCCAGCCCCAGCACGUCUACCACUUCUUUCAGAAGGCCUGACAGGCACUUACUCGUGCAGACCCACGCUGCCAGACUAGUGCAUCCCUGGUGGUCAUUCAAAGUAGGACCUCUUUGGGGAAUGUGUAUUUAUUAUAAAGCCAAGACUUCUACCCUAUGAAACUCAUUAUUAUUUUGUUGUUGUUGUUACUUAGCAAAUGUUGUUGAGGACAUAGUUCACUACUUUAUCCUG